rnacentral:rRNA from 1 species
CAGUCGUACGUGAAAGUUCCGCAAGGAACGAGUAAAGUGGCGAACGGGUGAGUAAUACAUAGGUAAUCUACUUAUAAGUUCGGGAUAACAGUUCGAAAGGAUUGCUAAUACCGGAUAAUGUGCUUAGUCAAAAGAUUAAGCGCCAAAGGUGGCCUCUUCACAAUGCUAUCGAUUAUAAAUGAGCCUAUGGACCAUUAGUUAGUUGGCAGGGUAAUAGCCUACCAAGACAAAGAUGGUUAGCUGGUCUGAGAGGAUGACCAGCCACACUGGAACUGAAACACGGUCCAGACUCCUACGGGAGGCAGCAGUGGGGAAUAUUGCGCAAUGGGGGAAACCCUGACGCAGCAACGCCGUGUGAGCGAUGAAGGCCUUCGGGUUGUAAAGCUCUGUUAAAUAAGAAGAAACUCCCAUAUUCUAAUACAAUAUGGGAUUGACGGUAUUAUUAGAGAAAGCACCGGCUAACUCCGUGCCAGCAGCCGCGGUAAGACGGAGGGUGCAAGCGUUGUUCGGAAUUACUGGGCGUAAAGGGCGUGUAGGCGGUCUAAUAAGUUAGGUGUGAAAUCUUCAGGCUCAACCUGAAAAGUGCACUUAAAACUGUUAAACUAGAGAGUGGUAGGGGAAAGCGGAAUUCCUAGUGUAGAGGUGAAAUUCGUAGAUAUUAGGAAGAACACCGGCGACGAAGGCGGCUUUCUGGACCAUUUCUGACGCUGAGACGCGAAAGCGUGGGGAGCAAACAGGAUUAGAUACCCUGGUAGUCCACGCUGUAAACGAUGAACACUAAGUAUGGGGGGGAUUUUUUCUUUCUGUGCUCAAGCUAACGCGUUAAGUGUUCCGCCUGGGGAGUACGGUCGCAAGAUUAAAACUCGAAGGAAUUGACGGGGGCCCGCACAAGCGGUGGAUUAUGUGGAUUAAUUCGAUGCAACGCGAAAAACCUUACCU